ACUGUGGUUUUAUAAUAGUUGGAAGCUAUCAAGAGUGCCUGGGGCAACCCAGUCAGAGGGGUGGCAUAUACAGGCAAAUAAUAAUAAUAAUAAUAAUAAUAAUAAUAAUAAUAAUAAUAAUUUAUUAUUUAUAUCCCGCCCAUCUGGCUGGGCUUCCCCAGCCACUCAGGGCGGCUUCCAACAAAAUAUUAAAAUACAG